rfam:Triticum aestivum genome assembly, contig: Triticum_aestivum_CS42_TGACv1_scaffold_557968_7AL
UUAAUACUCCCCCGUCCGAAAUUAUUUGUCGCAUAAAUGAAUAAAAAUGAAUGUAUCUAGAAUUAAAAUAUAUCUAGAUACAUCCAUUUUCCUGAUAAGUAAUUUCCAACAGAGGGAGUAUAUC